GUUGUAUAUUCUCUUUAUUUAAGAAUCUGGCUCUGAUGUACUGAUAGCAGGUGCGAUCGUUGGGGCUCUGUUUUUCCCUCUCACUGCCGUUGUUCUGAUCACUGUCUACGUUUGCAGCGUAUUGUAAUAAGAGCCGAGCUACAUCAUCACACAGUAGACGCAGGAAAUAGGUCAUCACACAAGGAGUAGGUCAUCACACAAGGAGUAGGUCAUCACACAAGGAGUAGGUCAUCACACAAGGAGUAGGUCAUCACACAAGGAGUAGGUCAUCACACAAGGAGUAGGUCAUCACACAAGGAACCGAAAACGCAUAAGCCUUCGCAGUUACGACACCCGAACAACGAAAU